UACGUAGGGUGCGAGCGUUGUCCGGAAUUACUGGGCGUAAAGAGCUCGUAGGUGGUUUGUCGCGUUGUCCGUGAAAACUCACAACUCAAUUGUGGGCGUGCGGGCGAUACGGGCAGACUGGAGUACUGCAGGGGAGACUGGAAUUCCCGGUGUAGCGGUGAAAUGCGCAGAUAUCGGGAAGAACACCCGUGGCGAAGGCGGUUCUCUGGGACGGUACUGACGCUGAGACGCGAAAGCGUGGGGAGCGAACAGG
rnacentral:rRNA from 1 species